rnacentral:lncRNA from 1 species
GGUUGUUGGGCAUUUGUCAGGUGCUGGUACCACCUCUGAAAUGCUGAUGGAUUUGCUCCUCCAAAGUUCCUGUUUGUUGACAGCUCUCAGAGCAAAUCCCUUCUGUUUGUUAUGAGUUGCCCAGGGGGAAAUAUCUGUGUGGACACGUUUGUGACUGCAGCUCUGGAGCGGGGGCUGCCCAUCUGGUAUCACCUUGCAGCAUGUAAAUAGCUUGGGCUGGCUGUAAAUAGCUUGGAGUGGCAAAAUCCUGAGAGCUGCAGGGCUGCAGAAAGCAACCUCUCUUUAUAUAUCAGCUUGGAACUGCUGGAAACAAUCUGUCUGCACAGGUGGUCCACUUCAACAUUCAGCAAAUACUUGAGAUCACAAUUGCAUCCUUUCUCUUUUGCUUACUCACUUUCCUUCUUUGCCACGGAGAAGAAAAUAUUUCCUGCUUUGCCACAGAGAAGAAAAGAUUUCAAGACUGGUGGUUUUGUAAUCCCUGGCAUCUGAGAUUGUUUUUGUUUGCUCCUGCAGGAAGGAUUCCUGGUUGCUGAACCUGAUGUAACUGCGCAGAUGGACCAGGAAGAAGAGCAAGAAGAGCCUUGGAGGAGACACACAUGGGUGGUGAGCUGGGGCCCCUUCCAGAUCACCUUGAAUGCACAUAUCUGCAGGACGUGCUGGCAGCAGGCUCCAGAGGAGGAGAGGAGCAGUUUGGGGACAGCAUGGGAGUCAGCGUGGUUGCUCAGAGGCCCAGCAAGGUGGCUGUGAGGAGGGAAAGGAG